rnacentral:lncRNA from 1 species
AUUUCCCCACUAUUGAUAUGACCGUUUAAUUAUUUUUUUCUUAAACAAAGAAAAAGGAGAAUACUUUUUUUGGAUUCUUUUUGGUCCUUGAGAAUUUUGUUGCCACCCCAUUAAAUAAAUUCUCUCUUUACCUUUCAAAGUUCACACCUUUAUCCCUAUAAAAUCACAGUCACCAUAAAUUCAACACACACAAACUCUCCCUUCUUUCUCUUCCAUUUUUCAGUUUUCUUCUCUAACACAAACCAAAUAUGAGAAAGAUCACAGCCCUAUUGUUCAUGACUCUGUUACUCAGCUCCAUCAUCACCCAUGCUGCGGCCCGCCCUGAAUCAACUUUUCGCAGGGGAGCCUCACUAAAUCCGGUUCGUUGCGUUUAAUGAUGUUCUUGUUGGCUUUUACAUUAGUCUUUUUUUUUUCUUUUAUUCUCAGUAGAUAUUUCGUAAGGUUCUGAUUCAUAUAUUUCUCAAACGCGUAGGAUGUUCUGGGAGAAGAUAAUUGUCACGGCAUUGAUGAGGAUGAAUGUUUGAAGAGAAGGACACUUACGGCAAACCUAGAUUAUAUUUAUACCCAAGACGAUAAUAAUUAAAGUUAAUUGUUUUGUAUUAUAUGUUAGAUUUUGAUAACCGUUUGCUUUCUUACAUAUAUCAUUUUAAUGUUUUACAUAUAUCAUAUUAUUUUCUAUAUGCUACUAUUUCGACUUGCAAACUUGUAGUUUUGUAAGUCUGAUGUUUAUGAAUGAAUAACUUAUUAGGGGGAUUUCUACUCUCGGAUUGAGAAGUUAGAUAAAUGAAUUGACAGAAGAUGAGAAGAAACAGAAAGUGAGAUAGUUGUUGACUUGAGUUGAGGAAUAGCCAUAAGAUUGAAUUUAAUGCAAGAUAUUAAUAUUUUCUGAGAGUGUAUCUGUUGAGUGUUGAAGAGAGUGAUAUUUAAAACUGGUAUCGAAGAAAUAAACUGGUAUUUAAAGUAGCCUUUAUUUAUGUUGCAGGCAUUAACUUCCCAUUAUUCUUCAAUACUUAUUCAGUUGUCUUCUCAACUACUCUAAACAAAUCUACCAGAGAAUCCAUUCCCUGACUCGCAAACUAAGUAAAUAAUACUUUUUUAAAGAAAUUUCUUAGUUAAAUAAUUAAUCUCCAGAGACUGUUUUAGUUUUAUUCUUUAUUUUAUUUUCCUUUAAUUUUCAUUUUUAGUAAAUACUUUUUUAUUUUAUUUUAAUGUUUGAUAAUAUAAUAUGCAAAAUGUAAACAUUUUACGGACAAUUAUAUGUUAACCUAAAUUCUUUUUAUAAUAUUUAUUUUAAUACAGUACAUAUAUAUUCUUUUAUUAAAUUUAAAAUAUGUUACCACUUUGGUGCUAAGGAACGAUAAUAGUUUGUGGUUUAUACCCACGCCUUUAAGCAAAUAUCUGAUUUUAAAUUCGGACAACUCUUCGGCACUAUUACACUGCAACACGUUACCAUUGUCGGCGAGGAGCGGUGUGUUGGGAUCACCGGUGUUUUCUUUCGAUUGAGAUGCGACGAGAAAAGAAGAAAACAAGUACUACCACUGUAGAAAAUAAAAUUGUUUAAUGGAGCCUUCUUAUCACAUACUUAAAUAUGAAAUUGAUCUAUCCAAAUUAAUGAUGUAUUAUUCUCAAAUUAAAAUAAUAUAAGACUUAUUUCUCAUUAUUAUAAUAUCUAUUAUAAUAAUAAAUAUUUAAUUUUAAUAAAAAACCUAAUGAUAUAAAUUCAAUAAAUAUGACAAUAAAAUAAAUAAUAAUAAACAUAAUUUCACUAUUUCUAAGAUGAUUUAGGACAUGACUCAAAUCAAACAACAAUAACCACAAACUCCUUUGAAUUUUGAUGAACAUUGGCCUAAGAGUACCUUCUCCUCCAUCAAUUUCAACAUGCACGUCAAAUGCAUGCACGUAAAGUUAAAGUCAUAUACAGAAAUAAAGGAGGUAAAAUGUCACUGGUUGUAUUUCUCCUAUUUCCUCCAUAUCCAUAGUGUAUUCGUAGAUACAAAUAUAGUGUAAGAAAGCAAGUGUGGUUGCUUCCACCCACCACCAUCUAUAAGAAUCGUAAUCUCAUGCAAAUUGUAGAGUCUCAAGGACAAAUAUCAGCCUCAGAAAUUGAGUAAUUAUUUAUAAUUUAAUGUUAGAAAUGUAUGUUUUUAUUGAAAUUUAUAAAAUAAAUAUUGAUUUUAAAGAAAUUAAUUUUAUCUAAAUUACAUUAGAAAAAAUGGUUUUAUUCAUACUAAUAUUUUAUGGUUUAAUUUUAUUUAAAUUAAACUUUCUAAUAAUAUUUUAUUUGAAAUCGUGUUUUUCAAGCCGCAGUCGACAAUACCCCGUGUGGAGAGCUCUGAGAAAUGGUGGGGAAAGACCGAUGAUGGCAAGACUGUGGGUGACGUCAUUGAUUUUGGAAUGCAAAGAGCUCUGAGAACCAAUAAGGAUGUUCUGAACUUGGGUAAAUCACUGUUUGUUCCAGGACUAACUAAGGUGGAUGAAGAAAAUAUAUUUGAAAACACUUUUACACUCAUUUAAUAUAUUAUUUUUCAUUUUUCUAUUAUAAAAAAUUUAUUAAAUGAGUAUAGGUGUGUGAAUCUACUAUUAUUUAUCCAAUGUGUAUGCAUGACACGAAUAUCUAUUUAUAAAUAAUAAUCAAAUAUUUAUACAUCAUCAUUAUUAUUUAUAAAUAAUAGUCAAAUAAUAAUAAUUAACACAAAAGUAAAUCUAAUAUAUUUAUUUAAUAUUUAAAAAACGAAAAAUAAUAAUCAGAUAAGAUCUGUUUCUUUGUUUUUAUAAUCAUAAUCAAAACCUAUGUAAUAAAUUUAUGAUUUUUUUUAGAAAAUUAUUUUUUAGAAACGUAAAAGUUGGAUUUAACAGAUGAAAGCUUCAGUUGUUUACAUCGGAAUCCCCAUUCUCAAAACAAAAAAUUAUCUAAUAACCCUAGUUCAGCUGAUUCAUACAAACAAAGUAAAGUAAUAACUGCCUAACGUUUUGAUUUAACAGUUGACAUUGAGAAAUCCUUUUUCUAAACUCGAUUACAACUUCUGAUAUAGCUUCAAAUUGUAUAACUAACUACCACAUCUUUACAAUUCCUAUGUUGCAUGACUCGUCAAUAGAACUUAGUUUUAGCUGUUUUAAAUGUUGACUAAUGUGAAACUAGCAAACUACAUAUCAAACGUGCAUAAGUGCAAUUUCCUCUGCCACUGCCAGCCAGAUAUCAAACAUUCCACUUUCAUUGAUGAUGAAAUGAAUAAUUCAAAUACGAAGGGCGUUCAAAGAAUUUACAAGUACAGGUUGGGUGCAUGUCAGUUGAAAUGCACUUUAAGCACAACUAAUGCCAAAAUGUCUAUAAACAGAGUUGGACAGAUUAAGAAAGUGUAACAGUAAUAACCAAUAGCAAUUGUAGAACACGAAUCUGCUCCUCCAACAGCAGAUUAAAAACAUUAGCCACAAGGGAAUUCUAACCACACUAAGUUAACAAGGCAUUAGAAAAUCUCAGUCAGCAUUUCACCUUCCCAUUCAGUUUCGUCAUAGAACAAAGUGGUUAUAUCCAUAAGAGAACAUGAAACAGAGUUGUCAUAUNCAAAAAGGGAGAGGGUGGCAGAGUUCAAAUGACCCGAGGAUGCGCCCUGGCUAAUAGAAAAUAUCAUAUCAUCUUACUAUACAGAAGGAUGUAUUUACAACAAGUUUCAAGUCAAGAAUAGAUCUAAUCAUGAUUGAUACACCUUAGACAAAUAGUAUUAAUGGUUGAUGAAUGCUUUAUAUGAGAGAGCUGUGGAGUUGGCCCNUGACUUUANAAUGUAAGAGAAAACGUACCUUCUAUGAUCANUGUACAUCUAUAAUAUUAAGAUUUACAAAGUUAAUCCAUGUAUGGUAUAUAGAGAUUAUGACAAAGCUGCAAGCCCAAAGAAGCAGCACCUCCANAAAAUUUUCUAGUUUAGUUACCAAUCACAUNUAUUNGGUGAAUGAAAAGUAGUCAGAAAAANUACUUAAGCAGGCACCAAAGCCCAGCCUCCACCCAUUAUGUGCAGAUACAACGAGAGACANAUAGUCACAAUAACNGAGGACUUCGCUGCAAGAUAUCUCACAAUCUCAAGCACUGCCUCUUGAGCAACAUGAGCACAUCUCAUCACAGAAGCACAAAAUGUCUGCAAAACAAACUCCAUGAAAGACCUAACAGUCUCAAACGUCACCCUUCCAGUCAGGUCAAGAACAAGCCUCCUAUUACUGGGAACCGCCAAUGUUGACGAAAUUUUGCCCACCCAGCUACUCUUUUUUUCUUCAUCAUAAACAUCAUCAACCUUCGAUUCAAUCUUCGAUUCAACGGACGACAUUUCUCCACCCAAGUCCUCAUUUAUCAAAGUUUCUCCAAUAGCCAAAUAUGAACCUGAACCUGAACCAAUAACUGCAUUUGAACUUGUUAACACUUUGUGAGACGUCUUGAUGAGAGUCUCCACGGCACCAUUACAAACAGAAACCAAGAUUUCCCUCACAUUGGUCUCAUGCUUCGGGUUAGUUAAGCCAGCAAAGAAAUCGUCAUAGGUGUUGAUAUGCAUGGUCUUAUCAAGAUAAACCGCAACCGCGGUGCUCACAAACAAUUGCACACAAUUCCCAAUCAGUUCCCCGCACUUAUCACCACAAACUACAUCCACCCAAGCAAGAACAGGAUCCGAAUUGGAUCCAACAUGUGUGACACCACUAGUCUCAUUGCUGGAGCUCGAUUCUCCACCAAAGUGGUUACGUUGAUCCGAAUAAAACGCAAGAACCAGGUUCCUAGCAAAGCUUCCAAGAACUACCGAAGCAAAACCUGACCCAGCUGGUGUAAACAUUUUGUCAAGCACCCGGUCCACGGCGGUUGAACCGGAUUGCUCACCACCAGUCCGGUUGAUAGAUUGAUAACCGCGCAGGACUCCGACGGUGACAGCACUGGUGACCCCAACCAAGGACUCCGACAAUUGUUGAGAGCGAGCAAUCUUGGAAAUUUGCUUCAAGCUAUUGGGGAUUUGAUCUGAAUCGGACUGCAGAAAAUCUUUGACGUCUCUGGAUACGAUUCCGAUGGUAUCUGCAGAUUCGGACACGGCUUCCGCUACGGAAACCAACGCACCCACAAGCUUCGAAAGCCUCUUUCUCUUACGAACAACAGAAGGCGAAUGAAAGAGCUUGUAAGCGCUGAACCCACCCAACCCAACAGCACACAGAAUGAAAAUCCAUUUCUUUCUUUUACGGACGUAAUCAAAACGAAAACCCUGACCAACUAACUGCACUUCCAUUAACCCCACCUACGGAUAUUUAAACUCGCCAAUUUAUAAUUACGAUCGCUGCUGACCCAAACCAAACGAUGUUAAAUAGACAUAGAAAAAAAGAAAGACAGAGCUUGGAGAAGGUUGUGAGGUCAAAAAUUGAGAGUUUGUGCUGGAGUUUAAGCUGUUUGCUAUUGCUUGAUUUUGGUGGAAGCAGUAGCCCCAACCGUCAUCUUCAAUUCAGCCGUCACGCCACAGACAAAUCACACCCACCACAAAUUAUUCAAUUUUUUUUUUCUUUUUUGUUGAGAUAUAUUAUUCUAUGGGCUGGUCUUUGUGGACGCUUCUCUCUUUUGGAUCUAGCCCGAGUGUCAUUACAGUUAACAUAACCAAUAUGCAAACUAUCUACAAAAAUAUAAAUAGAAAAUAUAUGUAGAAGAUUUAACAUUCAAGGUUGGCCUUUGGCCGCUGAGUUGUUAAAAUCUAAAAAGUGAAAAUGGAAAAGAAAGGGUUAAAGAGAAUGGAAUUACAUACCAACGCAAUUGUGAUAUAAAAAAUAAAAUGAAAAUUAGAGAAUGAAUGAUAUUAAAAAGUUAAAUUUUCUAAUUUUACCUGUGUUACACAAAUUUUAAACUUAAAUAAAAUUCUCAUUCUGAUUUUUUUUACGAGAUCAAUUCAUUAAUUCUUUAAGAUUAACGUAAAUUUAGCAUUAAAUUUGUUUUAGUAUUUGCUUACAAAAUUACUCUUUGCAAUAUGUAGACAAUUUUCAAAUUUCCUAUUAUUUGUAAGUCUUCUAGUUUUUCUUAUCUUUGAGAUAUAUAGACAAGAGUAGUCAAAUAUGUUUAGCAAAUUAUUUUCAGUGUAAAAAUAUAAGAAAAAUAAAUAUCAUAUUUUACAUAAGUUGCGGUUCUGUUUAUCGAGAAUUUGACUCCAUGUUUGUUCAGAUAUUUUUUUUUUAAAGUGAGCCAAAUAUACUUUAUGUGAAUUCUUAUAAUAUAAUCAACAAAUAAAUUGGAUUUUAAUCAUAAUUAUAGUAUUUUAAUUCAAGAUUAAUGAUUAACACAAAGUUUGUUUAUAAAAGAUUUAUAUCUUGAACCAAUUUUACAAAUAUAUAUAGUUUUAUUAAAUUGUCUUUUUAUGUGAAUAUUAAUUAAAAUUUAUGAACUUUAUUUCAAUAAUUAGAUUUUUUUAAAAAGCUUUAAAUAUUUUUGAAAUUUUACAACAUUGUUGUUUGAAACUCAACGUAAAUUGAAGAGCAAAUAAGUAAACUAGAAAUGUAAAUAAAAGAAAGACAAAAAGGAAGAAAAUAAAUAAAAAAGAUAUAUAUUACUAACAAGAAAAAUGUGUGCGUAAUGUUAAUAUUAUAUAAUUCAUUUAUAGAUAUAUAUUUUUUUGUCGAUGAAAUAUAUAUUACAGAUAAAUUUUUUCAUAGUUAAAAUUUAUCAGUAUUAAAAUUUAUCAAUAAAAUUCUUUAAUAAUUUAAAAUAUUUACUAUUGAUAAUGAUAUUAAUAUUUUUAAUUAUGCAUUAUCAUUAGUAAUUAUUGAUGUUUUAAUAUUUUUAAUUUGGGUGUUAAUUACUUAAUUAAUUCAUUUAAAUUUAUUUGUAAAAUUAAUUUUGACUAUAGAAAAAUAUUUAUCAAAAUUUACUUUCUUUUAUACUAUAUUAUUUUUUCAUCAUUAAUUAUUGAUAUUUUAUUACUCUUUUAAUUUUUUGCUAAUUAAUUAAUUCAUUCGUUUAAAUUUAAAUGAUAUUUUAUUACUCUUUUAACUUUUGUGUUAAUUAAUUAAUUCAUUUAUUUAAAUUUUAUUGAUAAAAGUAAUGUUAAUUAGAGAAAAAUAAUUAUUCCAGAAUUCUUUUCUUUUGUAGUAUAUAAUUUAUUUACUCUUAAUUGUUAAUAUUUUAUUACUCUUUUAAUUUUUGUGUUGAUUAAUUAAUUAUCUCAUUUAAUUUUUAUCGAUAAAAAUAUUUUUAAUUGUAAAGAAACAUUUAUUACAAAUUUCUUUUUUAAUAGUUUAAGAUUUUUUUUCCACAAUUAAAUAUUGAUAUUUUUCACUCUUUUAGUUUUUUGUGUUAAUUAAUUAAUUGAUUUAAAUGUUAUUGAUAAAAAUAAUUUUAAUUAUAGGAAAACAUUUAUCCAAAUUUCUUUUUUUAUAGUAUAAUAUUUUCUCACAAUUAAUUAUUGAUAUUUUAUUACUCUUUUAAUUUUUUUGCUAAUUAAUUAAUUUACUUAUUUAAAUUUUAUUGAUAAAAUAAUUUUAAUCGUAGAAACAAAUCCUUCUCAAUUUUUUUUUAUUGUAGUAUAAGAUUUUUUUCACCAUGAAUUAUUGAUAUUUUAUUAUUCUUUUAAUUUUUGUGUUAGUUGAUUAAUUAAUUCAUUUAAAUUUUAUUGAUAAAAAUAAUUUUAAUCAUAGAAAAGUAUUAAUUCCAUAUUUUCUUACUUUUACAAUAUAAGAUUUUUAUUGUCCAUAAAUUACUUAUUAUUGAAUUAUUUAAGAUUGUUGAUUAUUGCCUGCGUGAAUUAGAAAAUAAUUUAAUUUUUUACAUAAAUAUUGCAAUCAUUAUUUGAUAUAUUCAUAUAUAUCAAGCUUUUCAUUUUUUUAUUUAAAUUUAAUAUUUACAAAACUAAGAAACUAAUAGUUAAUAAUAAUAAAAUUAUAAUAGUUCGGAUAAGGAGAGAAAAAGUCAAUUUAAAUGUUGGUUCAAUAUAAAAAUUUACGAGCAUAGAAAACUUUAAUUGUUUCAUUUUCACCAACAAACCUCCUUUUUUGGAUUUACAUGAUGCAACUUGACAAUGAUUUAUAUGAAUGUUUUUUGUUUAAAACAUGUAACAAAGAUGAAGGAGGAAAUUAAAGAAUGGUAGUGAAACUAUUUGUUGCAAUUUGUUUUGUAAUUAUAAACGUGUGAAUAAAUUUUUUGUUUGUGUUUUAAUUUUUUUAUAAUUCUUAGUUUGGGAUGAAAACCAAAAUUGAUUAAGGAGAAGAUUUAAAGCACAAUGAAAAUUUAAUAAUUUAAUUUUUUAAUGGAAAUCUUAUAUAUUCAUAGAUAAUUAUCAGAAAAUAUAUUGUCGAUAAUUAUUGAUGAACUAAUAAAUAUUAUUUACAAAACUUUUAUAAAUGAAUUUUAGCUUUGAGUGAUCUAUCAAAUAAAAAUUUAUCGACAAAGUUUUUAAUAAAUAUAUAAUAUUCAACCAUAUUCUCAUAUAUAUAUAUAUAUAUAAAAUUCCCUUGUAUAAUUAUUAUUUAUUAGCGAAGCAUGAUAGACGGUAGAUAUGCAGUCUCACAAAUUGGUUCCAACUGUCCAGAUUCACAUCAAGAGAAUAAGUUGUUCCUUUACUCUUAAUAAUUAGUCUAAGACUAAUCGUUAUAGAUUUUUUUUUUCGACAAAAUUGUUACUUGUUAUUUGACCAAAAUCACAACAACAAAAAUUCCGGUGGUAAUUUAAAAUGUAAAACGAAUACAAAUAUGAAGUGAUGUUCACUUUCUAAAUUAAUUAUUCAACAAUAGAUAUAAAAUAUUUAUUUUUUACGAUAUAUAUUAGUAGAACACAAGGAUGCUUGAACCCAGAAAAAAAAAAAAACAUACAUUAAAUAGUACUACAAAAUACUUAAAUAUUGGUUCAACGCAUCUUUAAUGGAAAUCCCAUUUUAUCCUCCCAAACAGUACCAUAUAAUCUUGAAAAUUAGAAGCUACAUUUGCUUACUUGAUGUUAGAUCAAUCUGUCUGUUUGGUAACUUUUGCUUGUUGUUUCUUUGAAGAACCUUGAAAGGAGCUUAUGUUGUUAUAAGCUACGGAGCUCCAAGAGGUAAGCAACGCUUGCGCACCUGUGUCAUCAUGUUUUAGUGAGUCAACUUGCUGCAUUUUAUACCUCAUUUUUCACUUGUUGUUGAAACACAUUUCUGUAUGAUAUUGUUGGGUAAAUAUUCAAAAAGAAGUGUAUAUAUAUCACGGUUAUCUUCCCCACCAUCACCAUCCAAUGCAUUGCCAUAUUUCAUCUUUAACCCGAAGUUUCCAGUUGCGUAUUCAAUCACCGUCGUCUCUGUCUUCUAUAAUGAUCUCCAUUGUUACCGAACACCAUCAUCACCCUUCCCUCACUCACAACGCCGUCGCGACC